rnacentral:rRNA from 1 species
GGUUACCUUGGAAGUAAACAGUCGUACCAAGGUAACCGUAGGACUGCGGUGGAUCAUUAGCAGCUGGUUUUUCCAGACGCUUUUUUGUUUUGUCUUUGGUGUUCGUUGGGAGUUUCACGUGACCUUGACGCGUGACUUUGACGACACCGAUUUGACGAUUGGACGAUUGACGAUUCUUGAUCCAAGAAAAACAACUUUUGACAACGGAUCUCUUGGCUCUCGCAACGAUGAAGAACGCAGCGAAAUGCGAUACGUAAUGUUAAUUGCUUUCCGUGAAUCAUUGAAUCUUUGAACGCACAUUGCACUCCUUUGGAGUAUGCCUGUUUGAGAAUCGGCCCAUUUUUUUGGACGGGCUUGCUGGUGAGUGUUUAUUCGGUUCAGGCUAAUAUUAUCCAUCAGCCGAUACUCUCAACCCCUAACCCUACUCCUAGUAGUUCGAGCGCAAAAGAUAUCAGGUGUCCCGCUUGGGUACUUGGAAAUGCACGAGACGACGUCGACGUAGCAAGCAUGUGAAUGAAUCCUUGUUCUCAGAGUGCGACGCGAGUCGUCGUCUUUGAUUGUGUAACGUGUGUGUGCUGUAACGACAACACCAACACCAAUCACUUUCUCGAUCUCAAAUCAGUAGA